GGGGUUGUAGCUUAGUGGUAGAGCACUUGUCUAGCAUGUGUGAGGCACUGGGUUCAAUUCUCAGCACCA
rnacentral:tRNA from 1 species